rnacentral:rRNA from 1 species
AACGAACGCUGGCGGCAGGCUUAACACAUGCAAGUCGAGCGCCCCGCAAGGGGAGCGGCAGACGGGUGAGUAACGCGUGGGAACGUACCCUUUGCUACGGAAUAGCUCCGGGAAACUGGAAUUAAUACCGUAUGUGCCCUACGGGGGAAAGAUUUAUCGGCAAAGGAUCGGCCCGCGUUGGAUUAGCUAGUUGGUGGGGUAAUGACCUACCAAGGCGACGAUCCAUAGCUGGUCUGAGAGGAUGAUCAACCACAUUGGGACUGAGACACGGCCCAAACUCCUACGGGAGGCAGCAGUGGGGAAUAUUGGACAAUGGGCGCAAGCCUGAUCCAGCCGUGCCGCGUGAGUGAUGAAGGCCUUAGGGUUGUAAAGCUCUUUCACCGGAGAAGAUAAUGACGGUAUCCGGAGAAGAAGCCCCGGCUAACUUCGUGCCAGCCGCCGCGGUAAGAC